GGUCCUCAAGGUAUGGCUCGA
rnacentral:siRNA from 1 species